AGUAUCAUCUCAGAGCUAUUCACAAUGAAAGGUGAUCUCUGCGGCUCAAAUGUGUUGAGGUCCCCAUGCCUGGGCUAUGGGUGCUGAGUGGGAUUUACUUGUCCAUCCAUUUUCUAUAUUCCAGCACUGGGAAACUAGGGUUUAUCCAUCUUGAUAAGAUGUCAUUUAAAUUCCGCUUGGCAAGAACCACAAAUGGAAGAAAGGCCAUGAAACCACAGGACAGUACUUGUUCUCAAGGGAAUCUUCAGCUUAGGUGACUCUUUCUGGAUGUCAGGAAGUCCAAGGUUGAGAGGGCUGCAUCUGGUAGGGAUCUUCUUGCUGUGUAGAGGAAG
rnacentral:lncRNA from 1 species